UCUGAGAAAUCAAAACCCACUUCCCAGCUUUGGUGGGAGGGUUACAUGAGGUAACAUUUGGAAAACCUACAGCUCUUGACAUGUAGCAGAUGCUCCAUGAACGUCCAUUCCCUUUCCUGCUUUCCUCAGAAGACUAUGUGCGGCUUGAGUAGGUUUCCUGUGAGUAUUUACCCAGGGAAUGAAAAGGCGUGUCUCAGCUUUCUUACCUGUAAAAUGGGCUACAGUAACUUCUACCUCAUGGCUGCACAGAAGGUGAACGGAGAUGAACAGUGGAGGGCUCUUCACACGGGACACCGGGCCUCGCACGUGGCAAGUUCCCAGCUGAGAUAAUACAUUUCUUGGUCAGAAGCAAUGCUGUGUGGGAAUCCAUGAUGGACAUAAGCUGAGCUUCCCAUCCUAGCACUUGAGUUUUCAGAAAGGGCAGAAGGCCAAACACAUGGAAAGCUCCAGGCAGCCCAGCAGGAGGAGAGCUACACCCUUUGGCUUUGACUCUGCCUUUCUCAGCACACAAGGCUUCAAAGUGGGCACAGGUUAACUAAAAGGAUGGUUCAGGUAGACAAGGAUGACCCAGUGGACAGGGCAGCGACAGUCUUCAGAUGAAAUUUGGGCAAACAUGUCUGUACCAGCAAUUAGAGAAACCUCAGAGAAUGACUCCCUGGAGCCCCGUGGGGCAGUUCAACCCAAGGCUCUUUGCUGAGCCCUUGUUGAGUUAGCCCUGUGGGGAGGGCUACAGGCUUCAGCAUUGGAGAGGGCCUGCUUCUGCUCUCAUUAAGCUCAGAGUCCAAUGGAGGCACCCACAGAAGGUCAGAAAGUGGCAGUCAAAGGGGCUGAGUGCUGUGGGAGCCCCCGGGAGGGGUAGCCAGCCCAGACAUGAGGAAGCUGCGCAAAGGAGGUGAUGAUGCCUGAGCUGGUUCUUCAAAAGUGGAGAUGACUUUGGUGGGUGCUGAACUGGGGACAGAGCACUCCAGGCAGACAACACAGUAUGAAGAAGGCUCAGAGGGGCUGGAGAGCAAGGCGUUGGGCUCACAGGAGGGCUCCGCGUGUUUGGAGGAGAGUACAGAUAGGUGCGGAGGAAGACGGGGCCCAGGCCUCAGGAUUUCACAUGUCCUCUUGAAGAUGGGAUUGUGUCCUGUGGCUCGUGAGCAGCAAGGAUAGGCUUUGGGAGAGAAGAAUCCCACAAUCAUCUCCAGAUGCUGACAGAAGGCAAUCUGGGGUUCAUAAUCCUAUUAGACCAAGGACAGCAGUAAAUGCAUCUGCUCCACACAGACCUAACUCAGUGCCGCAGAGGAGAUGGGGCCUAAGUUCCAGGAGCACUUUCCCAGGUUCCAGGGGGAGUCGCAGAUUCAGGAGUGAAUAAGCAGGUGGAAAAGAAAGAAGGUGGCUCUUACUGAGGGCCUACUCUGUAGGGAAACUGGCACAUGUCUGGAAUGAACAUUUUCUUCUUGAAUCCUCCUCAAAACCCUGAGAAACUUGUGUGCUAGCCACGUGCAAAGGCACAGGGUGGAAGUGAAUUGAAGUCCUCUGCUUCUUCAUACACAUUCAAGACUACUCAGAAGUCUCCUUUUCUGGGAAGCCUGCCUGACUACUUGUCCUCCUCCUGCAUUGUUGGGUUCACAUAUGUAAUAUAUGCCUUCCAGUUCUUACCAGGCUGUUUAUAUGCCUGUUAUAGUCAAAAGACUUGCUCCAACCAGACGUGUCUCAAUUGCAAGAGUAUAUAUGGCCUAAGCUCCAGUUGGGAACUCUGUAUACACAGUGAGGAGUUUACUGCAUAUACAAAAGUUCUUAUCUUAAGAAAAUAAUCAAGCACUCAGCAAAAGGACCCUUUAAAUGAAUCUUCUUCAGCCAUGUACUCAGAGCCACUCUUCUAUCAGCAAGAGUUCUCAGUUGCAAGCAGUGAAAAUCAACUCUGGCACCUUCACGAGUUGGUAUUGGAGGCUCUAGAAUCAGCAGACACAAAAGGUCCAGAUUUGAAAGAUUGUUGGACUUGGAAGCUAGACAGGCAUAAAAGAAUUCUCUGAUUGUCAGGGAGACAAAUUGCAAAAAAGCAAACAUUCAGUUUUUGGAAGACAGCCAUGUUGUACCAUCCAUCAGUACCUUUUACCACCAAUGCUGGACAGUACAGUGACUUCAAGUGAGCUCUAAUCCUCAUUCAUCUGAGCAACUUUGCUGGACUCUAGGGGCAGGAAAGAGGGAGGGUAUCCCCCCCUACCCACUUUGGCUUCCACUGUGAGGGUAGGCUGCUUCUUCACAUGGGGUCUCCCACCAAAUGAGAGGAACUGUUGAGGGUGGCUAUUGAAAAUCGUCAUAUGUCACUAAUGGGCCCCCUCUUUGGCUGCCCAACCUUCAU